ensembl:snoRNA SNORD15 Small nucleolar RNA SNORD15
CUUCGGUGAAGAGGUGAUGACGAGUCUGACCGGGGGUGCUGGCUCUCCCCGGGGGUCUUCCGCCGUGCUGCGUUCUGUGGCACCCUGGAAAGGGCCCUGGUGGAAGCAACAGCCCCAAGAUGACCAAGAGGCAUUUGUCUGAGAAGG